CCUACGGGAGGCUGCAGUGGGGAAUAUUGCACAAUGGGCGCAAGCCUGAUGCAGCCAUGCCGCGUGUGUGAAGAAGGCCUUCGGGUUGUAAAGCACUUUCAGCGGGGAGGAAGGCGGUGAGGUUAAUAACCUCAUCGAUUGACGUUACCCGAAGAAGAAGCACCGGCUAACUCCGUGCCAGCAGCCGCGGUAAUACGGAGGGUGCAAGCGUUAAUCGGAAUUACUGGGCGUAAAGCGCACGCAGGCGGUCUGUCAAGUCGGAUGUGAAAUCCCCGGGCUCAACCUGGGAACUGCAUUCGAAACUGGCAGGCUAGAGUCUUGUAGAGGGGGGUAGAAUUCCAGGUGUAGCGGUGAAAUGCGUAGAGAUCUGGAGGAAUACCGGUGGCGAAGGCGGCCCCCUGGACAAAGACUGACGCUCAGGUGCGAAAGCGUGGGGAGCAAACAGGAUUAGAUACCCGUGUAGUC
rnacentral:rRNA from 1 species